rnacentral:rRNA from 1 species
UACGUAGGGCGCAAGCGUUGUCCGGAAUUAUUGGGCGUAAAGAGCUCGUAGGCGGCCUGUUGCGUCCGCUGUGAAAUCCCCGGGGCUCAACCCCGGGCCUGCAGUGGAUACGGGCUGGCUAGAGGCAGGCAGGGGAGAACGGAAUUCCUGGUGUAGCGGUGAAAUGCGCAGAUAUCAGGAGGAACACCGAUGGCGAAGGCAGGUCUCUGGGCAUUAACUGACGCUGAGGAGCGAAAGCAUGGGGAGCGAACAGG